rnacentral:lncRNA from 1 species
GGGAUCAACAAUAGAAACAGAACAAAAAGAGGACAAAGGUGAAGAUUCAGAGCCUGUAACUUCUAAGGCCUCUUCAACAAGUACACCUGAACCAACAAGAAAACCUUGGGAAAGAACAAAUACAAUGAAUGGCAGCAAGUCACCUGUUAUCUCCAGGACAUUUUAGAUGAAAUGAGAAAAGAAUUAACAAAGCUAAAAGAAGAGCUCAUUGAUGUCUGUCCUUUUUUGUGUGUGGAGUUGUGGGCAGGUCAUUGGACUGGGACUGACUUUACCAGUUUUCAGGCUGUGGGGCUAGUCAGUCAUUCUCUCUGAGCCUUCUACCUCUAAAGUUGAGUUCUUUUUUUAAAUUCUUUUUGUUUUGUUUUUAUUUUUUCCUUGCCACUAUACAAGCAAGGAUAGAUAAAGCUUUUUAUUAUUAUUGUUAUUAUUAUUAUUUCGAGACAGUCUCGCUCUGUCAUCCAGGCUGGAGUGCAGUGGUGUGAUUUCAGCUCACUGCAACCUCUGCCUCCCGGGUUCAAGCGAUUCUCCUACCUCAGCCUCCUUAGUAGCUGGGACUACAGGCAUGCGCCACCACACCCGGCUAA